rnacentral:rRNA from 1 species
AGUCGAACGGAAAGGCUCCAGCUUGCUGGAGUACUCGAGUGGCGAACGGGUGAGUAACACGUGGGUAAUCUGCCCUGCACUCUGGGAUAAGCCUGGGAAACUGGGUCUAAUACUGGAUAUGACCUUUCUCCUUAUGGGGUUUGGUGGAAAGUUUUUCGGUGUAGGAUGAGCCCGCGGCCUAUCAGCUUGUUGGUGGGGUGAUGGCCUACCAAGGCGACGACGGGUAGCCGGCCUGAGAGGGUGAUCGGCCACAUUGGGACUGAGAUACGGCCCAGACUCCUACGGGAGGCAGCAGUGGGGAAUAUUGCACAAUGGGCGGAAGCCUGAUGCAGCGACGCCGCGUGAGGGAUGACGGCCUUCGGGUUGUAAACCUCUUUCAGCAGGGACGAAGCGUAAGUGACGGUACCUGCAGAAGAAGCACCGGCUAACUACGUGCCAGCAGCCGCGGUAAUACGUAGGGUGCGAGCGUUGUCCGGAAUUACUGGGCGUAAAGAGCUCGUAGGCGGUUUGUCACGUCGUCUGUGAAAUCCUAGGGCUUAACCCUGGACGUGCAGGCGAUACGGGCUGACUUGAGUACUACAGGGGAGACUGGAAUUUCUGGUGUAGCGGUGGAAUGCACAGAUAUCAGGAAGAACACCGAUGGCGAAGGCAGGUCUCUGGGUAGUAACUGACGCUGAGGAGCGAAAGCAUGGGUAGCGAACAGGAUUAGAUACCCUGGUAGUCCAUGCCGUAAACGGUGGGCGCUAGGUGUGGGGUUCCUUCCACGGGCUCCGCGCCGUAGCUAACGCAUUAAGCGCCCCGCCUGGGGAGUACGGCCG